UACGGGGGGGGCAAGCGUUGUUCGGAAUUACUGGGCGUAAAGGGCUCGUAGGCGGCCAACUAAGUCGGAUGUGAAAUCCCCAAGCUUAACUUGGGAACUGCAUCCGAUACUGGAUGGCUUGAAUCCGGGAGAGGGAUGCAGAAUUCCAGGUGUAGCGGUGAAAUGCGUAGAUAUCAGGAGGAACACCGGUGGCGAAGGCGGGUCUCUGGGCCGAUACUGACGCUGGAGGAGCGAAAGCGUGGGGAGCGAACAGGA
rnacentral:rRNA from 1 species